AUUGAACGCUGGCGGCAGGCCUAACACAUGCAAGUCGAGCGGAUGAAGGGAGCUUGCUCCUGGAUUCAGCGGCGGACGGGUGAGUAAUGCCUAGGAAUCUGCCUGGUAGUGGGGGAUAACGUCCGGAAACGGGCGCUAAUACCGCAUACGUCCUGAGGGAGAAAGUGGGGGAUCUUCGGACCUCACGCUAUCAGAUGAUCCUAGGUCGGAUUAGCUAGUUGGUGGGGUAAAGGCCUACCAAGGCGACGAUCCGCAACUGGUCUGAGAGGAUGAUCAGUCACCCUGGAAGUGAGACACGGUCCAGACUCCUACGGGAGGCAGCAGUGGGGAAUAUUGGACAAUGGGCGAAAGCCUGAUACAGCCAUGCCGCGUGUGUGAAGAAGGUCUUCGGAUUGUAAAGCACUUUAAGUUGGGAGGAAGGGCAGUAAGUUAAUACCUUGCUGUUUUGACGUUACCAACAGAAUAAGCACCGGCUAACUUCGUG
rnacentral:rRNA from 1 species